UACGUAGGGACCAAGCGUUGUUCGGAUUUACUGGGCGUAAAGGGCGCGUAGGCGGCUCUGUAAGUCACUUGUGAAAUCUCUGAGCUUAACUCAGAACGGCCAAGUGAUACUGCAGUGCUAGAGUGUAGAAGGGGGAAUCGGAAUUCUUGGUGUAGCGGUGAAAUGCGUAGAUAUCAAGAGGAACACCUGAGGCGAAGGCGGGUUGCUGGUCUAACACUGACGCUGAGGCGCGAAAGCAAGGGGAUCAAACGGG
rnacentral:rRNA from 1 species